GGUGAAAGACACAGCAUUUCAUCAAUUCUCAUGUAUUUUCUUCACAAGGCCAACUAUUAAUGACCACAUUUGGUGCAGGAAUGACUGUGACUUAAUAUAGUCAAACAGUGUCUCAGCUUCAUGCAAUAUUUAAGGAAAUUUACUUUAAACUUUUAUAUACAAACAUAA